UAAACUGGGAUUAGAUACCCCAUUAUUUUUAACUGUAAAUGGAGAUGUGUUCUACCUAAGUAUUAUGAAUUGUUAUUUAAAAUUUAAAGGACUUGGCGGUAUCUUAGACUAUUUAGGGGAACCUGUUUUUUAAUCGAUGGUCCUCGUUUUACCUUACCUUUUUUUAUUGGUUUGUAUACCGUCGUCGUCAGUUAACUUUUAGAGAAUUAUAUAAGUUGUCUAUUUAAAUUUUUAGUUUUAGAUGUCAGAUCAAGGUGCAGCUUAUGGAUUGGUAAAUAUGGGUUACAAUUAUUUUAUUUAUAUAUGAAUAAUAUUAUGGAAUUAAUAAUUGAAAUAGGACUUAAAAGUAAUUUAAUUUAGAUAUAUUUGAUGAAGAUAGCUCUUGGAUGUGCACACACCGCCCGUCACCCUCA
rnacentral:rRNA from 1 species